GAGGGUAAACCCAGAGACAGGUGGUAGUAAACCAAGGCUUUCACCAGGUGAAGCUCUGAUUGCUUUUGCCCCAUAAAAUGCCAGCAGCUGCUCCCCUCUUGUUCCUUGCAGGCUAUGGGGUAAGAAAGCAUCCCCUGUGGAUGCUUUGAAGUGGAGCAGCCUUGUUGGAAAAGGAUAUUACAUUGGCCUGAUACCCUGAGCUAUUUGCACUGAUAUCCCCACGGAGGAGAAGAGCUGGCUGGGAGAAGAAAAUGAACAGUUCUAUUUAUGCAGCAAGUAAAUGAUUGUGGAGCAAGUGCUGGUUACCUGCUGCUCCCGACACUGGUGCCCAGUGCUAUAAGGGAUGGAGAGCUGCAUCGCCCUCCUCCUGGACAGAAUUAAUUGAUGGUGAGGAAGAGAUGAUGGAGUCUGCCUGGUGCCUCUUGUAGUGGCUGCUCUGAGCCGGGAGCUCCCAUCUUCCCUUAGCCAACGUCCCUGUGCUGGAUCUGGAGUCCUUCAAGUCUGGAUGCAAGGGUGAUGGUGUGCACUUGGCUCGCUUUCUGUAAAAAUUCAUUCUGAAAAGAAGGGGUUUAUUAUAUACCCUCCUGUCUCUCUUGCAGUUACCCAAACAUACCCUCUCAGCAUAGAUAAUUAAAAGUGAACACACAUCCCCAAAGAGGAGCUAUUCUGAAGGCAGCUCAGGUGUGACUAAGCAUGCCCCUUUCUGUAUUUCACCCUUUGAGAGCUUCACAAAUCAAAGAGAAUCAUUUUCAGACAGUGAUGAAUCACUUAUACUCCCAUUUGUUUGCUCGGAGUCUUCCUUUAAGAGAAUGUGA